ACGUUAGCGGCGGACGGGUGAGUAACACGUGGGUAACCUACCUAUAAGACUGGGAUAACUUCGGGAAACCGGAGCUAAUACCGGAUAAUAUUUCGAACCGCAUGGUUCGAUAGUGAAAGAUGGUUUUGCUAUCACUUAUAGAUGGACCUGCGCCGUAUUAGCUAGUUGGUAAGGUAACGGCUUACCAAGGCGACGAUACGUAGCCGACCUGAGAGGGUGAUCGGCCACACUGGAACUGAGACACGGUCCAGACUCCUACGGGAGGCGCAGAC
rnacentral:rRNA from 1 species